UUUCUACUCCCUCCGUUCGAAAAUACUUGUCAUCAAAAUGGAUAAAAAGAGAUGUAUCUAAAACUAAAAUACGUCUAGAUACAUUUCCUUUUAUCCAUUUUGAUGACAAGUAUUUCCGGACGGAGGGAGUAUUUG
rfam:Triticum aestivum genome assembly, contig: Triticum_aestivum_CS42_TGACv1_scaffold_265356_3DL